GCUAUCCGCCCACCCACAUGGGUCAUGGGCGAAUAUCCAUCCCCAACUCCAUAUGGGCAAAUAGCAGAAUAGGGAAACGGGUGGAAAAUGGAAUGAUCCCUUUCAUUUCGCACGUUGCCUUUCAAUUCUCAAUCCGAGCUGCUCAAACAUGCUGCUUUGCGCCACUCAAGUCUGGUGAGAGGUGGUUAAUUGUUUAAGUUUCGGCCAUUCCCUUCCCUUUCAAAAGGUCCCUUCCUCGCCUUUGCUUUGAGCCCGUCGACCGCUAAAAGGGCUUGGGCUAGAUAGGGAUCAGCUCACCAACGUCAUUUCAGCGACUGCAGAAGGAUCAUGUCAGAUUGCGAAGUACCCAAUUACUCUCUUCACUUAAAAAAGUCCAAAUUUUGAUGUUUCCUAAAUAACCCACGAUAAAAUUAAGAUGUAUGGGAGCACACAACUCUCCUCUCUAGUCACAAGGGCAGUUGGCAUUUAUUGCCACCUGGCUAGCAAUAGAUGAGGGGUUAUUGGGGACAUCCUUUACCAGAGCUAGUGACCUAGACUUGUGGACAAACACCCAAUCAAAAGGCAACACGUGGCAUGGUCAUACAAGGAAAGAAUGGCCUUCGACCGGAGAGAAAAUGGUUCAAAAGAUAAGGUUCCCCUUAACGUGGAAUUGCUCGUACAUAUUUCAAUAUCAUCAAUUAGUAUCCUCUCCAUUUCACUUUUAAUAUACCUAGUCCUUCUCUUGCCAAUCCUCGUUCUCUAUGCAAUCAUAUCUACUACGACCUAGAUCAGGGAUCUAUUUCAUGGUCUAUAUUAGAUUUUACAGAUAUAAUUGUGUAUAUAUUGUUACAUGGUGUACAUAUUGUCAUGUCAUUUAAAAAUUUUAAACGAUAUGGUACCAUGUAAACCGUUAGAUGCAACAAAAUUU